rnacentral:rRNA from 1 species
AUUGGACGCUGGCGGCAGGCUUAACACAUGCAAGUCGAGCGGGGGAAGGUAGCUUGCUACCGGACCUAGCGGCGGACGGGUGAGUAAUGCUUAGGAAUCUGCCUAUUAGUGGGGGACAACAUCUCGAAAGGGAUGCUAAUACCGCAUACGUCCUACGGGAGAAAGCAGGGGAUCUUCGGACCUUGCGCUAAUAGAUGGGCCUAAGUCGGAUUAGCUAGUUGGUGGGGUAGAGGCCUACCAAGGCGACGAUCUGUAGCGGGUCUGAGAGGAUGAUCUGCCACACUGGGACUGAGACACGGCCCAGACUCCUACGGGAGGCAGCAGUGGGGAAUAUUGGACAAUGGGGGGAACCCUGAUCCAGCCAUGCCGCGUGUGUGAAGAAGGCCUUAUGGUUGUAAAGCACUUUAAGCGAGGAGGAGGCUACUCUAGUUAAUACCUAGGGAUAGUGGACGUUACUCGCAGAAUAAGCACCGGCUAACUCUGUGCCAGCCGCCGCAGUAA